rnacentral:lncRNA from 10 species
CCCAGCUCAAGCGAUCCUCCUACCUCAGCCUCCCAAGUAGUGGGGACCACAGACAUGUGCCAUCAUGUUGGCUAUACAGUUGACACUUGUUGAAGACUUACUGUGUGUCAGGCACAGGUAGCUGUUCCUCAGGCUUUGUCCUCACAGUCCUAUGAGAAGGUGCCCUCAUACGCCCAUUCAGCAGACAAGGGGACUGGGGUGUGGAGAUGUGAGGUGUCUGCAAAGCAGGAUGAAAAGCUGAGUGUGUGCGCAUCAGGCCCAACGAGAGCAGAGUGCAGCAGAAGGUGCAUCUGAAGUGGAGCAGAGAGGCACUGGGCCUGUCUCGGAGAAGUCUGAGGUCUGGGGCCUGGAGGAGAUGGGAAAAUGAGGCCAGGAAAUGUUCCCUGGACAACAGUUAGGAAGGUCAUACUUCCCAGUGAACGGGCAUGACUGGGAAUGACCAGCAAUUCCCAAGGCCAGUGCCCGGGAGCCCAGGCCCUCCUGAGUUUCUGUUCCAUGGAACAAAGAGGCCUUUGUUCUCCCUCAUAAGCCUAGAGAGAACCACAGAGUUGGGUGCCCAAAAGAGGCAGCAGCCUGUUCUCCCUGGGGAAGAACUCUCGCAUGGCGCCUUGCUCUGGACCCUCAUCCAUUAGCCAUGCCAAGAUUCAAGGAAGAAAGUUACCAUCCAGCAGCUGGCAGUUUUUAGAGACAAGGUCUUACUCUGCCCCCCAGGCUGGACUGCUGAGGUGCCAUUCUAGCUCACUGCGGCCCCAAACUCCUGAGCUCAAGUGAUCCUCCUGCCUCAGCUUCCUGAGUAGCUGGGACUACAGGUGCGUGCUACCAUACCUGGCUAAGUUUUUAAUAUUUUGUAGAGAC